AGAGUUUGAUCCUGGCUCAGGAUGAACGCUGGCGGCGUGCCUAAUACAUGCAAGUCGAACGAGGUGCUUUUGUAGCAAUACGAGAGUAUCCUAGUGGCGAACGGGUGAGUAACGCGUUGGUGACCUACCCCAAAGUGUGGGAUAACAGUCCGAAAGGAUUGCUAAUACCGCAUGUGGUUAUUGGAUCUAGAAACCGAUAACUAAAGGAGCAAUUCGCUUUGGGAGGGACCUGCGUCCCAUCAGCUAGUUGGUGAGGUAACGGCUCACCAAGGCUACGACGGGUAGGGGACCUGAGAGGGUGGCCCCCCACAAUGGAACUGAAACACGGUCCAUACACCUACGGGUGGCAGCAGUAGGGAAUAUUGCACAAUGGGCGAAAGCCUGAUGCAGCAACGCCGCGUGUGCGAUGAAGGCCUUCGGGUCGUAAAGCACUUUUCUGAGAGAUGAGAAAGGACAGUAUCUCAGGAAUAAGUCUCGGCUAACUACGUGCCAGCAGCCGCGGUAACACGUAGGAGGCGAGCGUUAUCCGGAUUCACUGGGCGUAAAGCGCGUGCAGGCGGUUUGGUAAGUUGAUCGUGAAAGCUCCCGGCUCAACUGGGAGAGGUCGUUCAAUACUACCGAACUAGAGAGUAGAAGAGGAAGAUGGAAUUCCCGGUGUAGUGGUGAAAUGCGUAGAUAUCGGGAGGAACACCAGUGGCGAAGGCGAUCUUCUGGUCUAUUUCUGACGCUCAGACGCGACAGCUAGGGUAGUAAACGGGAUUAGAGACCCCGGUAAUCCUAGCCGUAAACGAUGUGAACUUGGCGUCGGUGGCUUAAACACCAUCGGUGCCGAAGCAAACGCGAUAAGUUCACCGCCUGGGGACUACGGCCGCAAGGUUAAAACUCAAAGGAAUUGACGG
rnacentral:rRNA from 1 species